GAUAAUACCCCAUAGUCUAUGGAAGCUGGAAUGCUCUAUAGUUGAAAGAUUUAUCGCCUUAGGAUGGGUCUGCGGCCGAUUAGGUAGUUGUUGGGGUAAAGGCCCAACAAGCCUUUGAUCGGUACGGGUUGUGGGAGCAAGAGCCCGGAGAUGGAUUCUGAGACACGAAUCCAGGCCCUACGGGGCGCAGCAGGCGCGAAAACUUUACAAUGCGGGAAACCGUGAUAAGGGAACUCCGAGUGCCCGUAAACGCGGGCUGUCCAUCUGCUUAAAAAACAGGUGAAGAAAGGGCCGGGCAAGACCGGUGCCAGCCGCCGCGGUAAUACCGGCGGCUCGAGUGGUGGCCACUAUUACUGGGCUUAAAGCGUCCGUAGCUUGGUUGUUAAGUCUCUUGGGAAAUCUGUCGGCUUAACCGACAGGCGUUUAAGGGAUACUGGCAACCUAGGGACCGGGAGAGGUGAGAGGUACUUCAGGGGUAGGAGUGAAAUCCUGUAAUCCUUGGGGGACCACCUGUGGCGUAGGCGUCUCACCAGAACGGCUCCGACAGUGAGGGACGAAAGCUGGGGGAGCAAACCGGAUUAGAUACCCGGGUAGUCCCAGCCGUAAACGAUGCGCGUUAGGUGUAUCGGUGACCACGAGUCACCGAGGUGCCGAAGGGAAACCGUGAAACGUGCCGCCUGGGAAGUACGGUCGCAAGGCUGAAACUUAAAGGAAUUGGCGGGGGA
rnacentral:rRNA from 1 species